rnacentral:rRNA from 1 species
UACGAAGGGGGCUAGCGUUGAUCGGAAUCACUGGGCGUAAAGCGCACGCAGGCGGAUCGAUAAGUCGGGGGUGAAAGCCCGGGGCUCAACCUCGGAAUUGCCUUCGAUACUGUCGGUCUCGAGUCCGGGAGAGGUGAGUGGAAUUCCUAGAGUAGAGGUGAAAUUCGUAGAUAUUAGGAAGAACACCAGUGGCGAAGGCGGCUCACUGGCCCGGUACUGACGCCCAGGUGCGAAAGCGUGGGGAGCAAACAGG